CGCGGGUUUUUAAGGAAUGAGAGAGAAACUGGAGGACAAGGAGGAUCCGCUAUUACAAAUUCGACAUGCAGGAGAGAGAAAAUGUCUAACAUUUAAUGGUAGAGGUACCCUGGGUACCAGAACCUCCAGACUCUCGUGUCGCUCAGCCAAAAUGUCACUGAACGAGAAAAGUCUGGAGUCUGUGGUACCCAGGUUUGGGAGAGGUAGAGAUUCAGAAAUCAAUGAGAGAAUAUGGGAUAUUUCAGGGGCUGCCCCUGCUUUUGUACAUAUAUAAAACUGUGUAGGCCUGAAAAGAAUAAUAUUUAAAUAUUUAAAAACCCCGCAUUGGGGGUUUGUCAUAUCGUAUCGGCAAUUAUGGGGAUAGCAAGCUUAAUCCUUCGUCUGCAUAUCUUAAUGAUUUUCUUUUCCUUCGAAGUAUCUUCUCAAACUUGCUCAGUUAAAUCCGCCCCAAAAGAGAGACCCACGAAAAAGUUCAACAAAGUUAACAAAUCGUUUCUUAACGGUACCGUUUUUCACGAGUUGCAUGUUAAAGAUGCGAUGGAGUGUGGGUUAUCGUGCUUGCAAGAAGAUCUGUGUGCUUCCUAUAACAUGGCACGGAAACCAUCGCCAGGGCUUCGCUACAUUUGCGAGUUGCUAUCUAUUCGAAUUGGUGAUCUUGGCGCAGAGCUGGUGAAGAACGACACCUUUGACCACUUCAGUACUAAGUUCCACUGCUAUGCAGACAAUGGUCGAGAUGCAUAGGACUUCUGUGUGGGCACGUGUCGUGACAUUAAACUCAGUCACCCGCCAGCCCCCAGCGGAUAUUACGUCAUCGACCCCUCAGGUGAUCUUGGAGAACCACCUUUUCCUGUAG